GGGUUGUCAUGCCAAUGGCACUGCCCGGUAGCUAAAUGCGGAAGAGAUAAGUGCUGAAAGCAUCUAAGCACGAAACUUGCCCCGAGAUGAGUUCUCCCUGAGACUUUAAGUCUCCUGAAGGAACGUUGAAGACGACGACGUUGAUAGGCCGGGUGUGUAAGCGCAGUGAUGCGUUGAGCUAACCGGUACUAAUGAACCGUGAGGCUUAACCUU
rnacentral:rRNA from 1 species